CCAGGACCAAGGUCAGCAGCAGGCGCGAAAAUUAUCGAAGCCCGCCUAGGGGCGAUAGUGAGGAGACGUGUAUAACGAAGUACGUGUAAAGAACGUGCUAAUAACUGGAGGUCAAGUCUGGUGCCAGCAUCCGCGGUAAUUCCAGCUCCAGGGGUGUCUAUGAUGAUUGCUGCGAUUAAAAAGUCCGUAGUCAAUCUGACUGACUGACCUGCAAUGUGAUUGAUUAAAGAACGAGCAGGGUUAGGAAAGCAGAGAAUUAGGAGCGACCGAGGGCUAGAGUAUUGAAUGGCGAGAGGUGAAAUUUGAUGACCCAUUCAGGAGUGACAAAGGCGAAGGCACUAGUCAAGGGCGAAUCCGAUGAUCAAGGACGUAGGCUAGAGUUUCGAAAACGAUUAGAGACCGGAGUAGUUCUAGCAGUAAACUAUGCCGACGCCGUGGUAUUAUUUUAGUAUUGCGGAAGAGAAAUCAAUAAGGCUUUGGGGAGAGUACGCGCGCAAGCGAUAAAUU
rnacentral:rRNA from 1 species